rnacentral:misc_RNA from 1 species
GAUGAAGAACGUAGCGAAAUGCGAUACUUGGUGUGAAUUGCAGAAUCCCGUGAACCGUCGAGUCUUUGAACGCAAGUUGCGCCCGAAGCCAUUAGGCCGAGGGCACGCCUGCCUGGGCGUCACACGUCGUUGCCCCCCCAUCUACUCCUUCGGGAUUGCGGGGGGCGGAUGAUGGCCUCCCGUGCGCCUCGUCGCGCGGUUGGCAUAAAUGCCAAGUCCUCGGCGACGCACGCCACGACAAUCGGUGGUUGCGAAACCUCGGUUGCCCGUCGUGUGCGGUCGUCGCGCAUCGAGGGCUCGAAAAAAUUGCCGGGCUCCGGCUCGGCUUUCAACGCGACCCCAGGUCAGGCGGGGUUACCCGCUGAAUUUAAGCAUAUCAAUAAGCGGAGGA